rnacentral:tRNA from 1 species
GCCCCUGUAGUGUAGUCCGGUCAAGCACCUCGCCCUUUCGAGGCGAUGACACGGGUUCAAAUCCCGUCGGGGGUA